UACGUAGGGUGCAAGCGUUGUCCGGAAUUAUUGGGCGUAAAGAGCGUGUAGGCGGCCCGACAAGUCCGCUGUGAAAGUCCAGGGCUCAACCCUGGAAUGCCGGUGGAUACUGUCGGGCUAGAGUCCGGAAGGGGCGAGUGGAAUUCCUGGUGUAGCGGUGAAAUGCGCAGAUAUCGGGAGGAACACCUGUGGCGAAAGCGGCUCACUGGACCAUAACUGACGCUGAUGCACGAAAGCUGGGGGAGCAAACAGG
rnacentral:rRNA from 1 species